UACGUAGGGUGCAAGCGUUGUCCGGAAUUAUUGGGCGUAAAGAGCGUGUAGGCGGCCCGACAAGUCCGCUGUGAAAGUCCAGGGCUCAACCCUGGAAUGCCGGUGGAUACUGUCGGGCUAGAGUCCGGAAGGGGCGAGUGGAAUUCCUGGUGUAGCGGUGAAACUGCGCAGAUAUCAGGAGGAACACCAGUGGCGAAGGCGGUCU
rnacentral:rRNA from 1 species